rnacentral:rRNA from 1 species
GAUGAACGCUAGCUACAGGCCUAACACAUGCAAGUCGAGGGACCGGCGCACGGGUGAGUAACACGUAUCCAACCUGCCCUUUACUCGGGGAUAGCCUUUCGAAAGACAGAUUAAUACCCGAUGUAAAGGACGGGGAUGCGUUCCAUUAGGUUGUUGGUGAGGUAAAGGCUCACCAAGCCUUCGAUGGAUAGGGGUUGUGAGAGGAAGGUCCCCCAGAUUGGAACUGAGACACGGUCCAAACUCCUACGGGAGGCAGGAGUGAGGAAUAUUGGGCAAUGGGCGUUAGCCUGGACCAGCCAAGUAGCGUGAAGGAUGAAGGGUUAUGGGUCGUAAACUUCUGUUAUAUAAGAAUAGGUAUUAUAUGAAUAAGGAUCGGCUAACUCCGUGCCAGCAGCCGCGGUAAUUC